CCCCACUUCCCCUCCCCAUCCCCCACCAGUCCGUCCUGUCCAGGAUUCCACCUCUCCGCUCAACGAGAAAAGUUGACACAACUCUGUGCUGUUACACAUGUUUCCUGCCAUCUCUCCUAUGGACUGCCUUAAGUUCCCUCAGGAGUGUCCUGCCGGGCAACGCUGACGAGCUAGCACAGCAGUGGAGAUGCAAGGCUCCCUGCAUCUGGUCCUGUAUGAGAAGAGCUGUGCCAGUCCCUCUCAAUGUGGUUUAUCUGGGGAGAAACACGCUGCAUGCCUGAACUUCACCUACCAAAAUUACCGCUGUGACACGGACCUGUGCAACGAGGCUAUGGCCCAUGCUGCCCCCAUCUGGAGGGGAGGUGCACUGUGCAUCCUAGUUAUUUUCUCUCUCAUACUAAGCUGAUAUCCAAAUGUAUUGCAUUUUAUAUGUACAUUCCUCAUCAUACAGUAACAUGCACAACCUAUACUGUAAAGGGGUGAAUCACACACACACACACACACACACACACACACACACACACACACACACACACACACACACACACACACACACACACACACACACACACACACACACACACACACACACACGCAUCCUAAACAGUAGUGCACAGUCAGUCACCUGAGGGUAUAGUGCACAGUCAGUCACCUGAGGGUAGAAAUGAGUCAUAUGUCUAUUGAGACAUAUCACAGUGUUAAAAUUACAAUGAAACUAGUGGCGAAACAUAAUCCAUAUGUUGAUCAAAUCUGCAUUCAUUUGUAAGAACAUUCGUUUAAAUAAGGGUUAAUAUGGCUUUCUAACUAUUCUACUUUUCUAUGGUGCUAUAUUUAGCAUAAAUGUUGAAAAAGGAUUGGCAGCCAUUAAUAAACAAACAAGUAAAGAAACAGUAACCAAUUGUGGUUUUAUUUUGACCGUCUUUUCAGGAUGAUUAAAACCUACAAAAGAAAUACUAAGUUUGAUUGUCAUUGACUCAAUGUACGCAACAUAAUCUAGGUUAAGUGCUAUUGCCUUCAAAUAAAAUUGAAGGUGAAGUAAAGGGCUGAAAUACGUGGAGGAAAGAAUGCAUCAAAAGUUAGGAAGAAAAUAAACAACAAAAAUGAAGAUGGGUCUUUUAAAAAAAGAGGAUGGGUUUGAGGAGGGGAUAAAGAUGGAAAAUAGAUAUGUAUGAAAUGGAGAUUUAAAGGUGAAUAAUACAUUAAAUAAUCAUUAAAGACGAAUGUAAAAAGUCCCUGAAGUCAUCACUAAUCUUACAGUAAAAGGAAGUUCAAAAAAUAACUGUUACAAGCUUCAGUAAAGGACAAUACUAGACUACAACAGGCAACAUUGAAAUGAAGACUUGGUCUCUUUUUGACAAAUAGUUAUGACAACAGGACUAUAGACAAUUGACCGGUAAAAGUAGGUCCAUAGAAACCAAAUAAAAUCCAUAAAAUAAAGGAUUCAGUCAUGUAAAAUAGUAAUGGGUUUUAUGAAGAUUUUUCUUAUCUAUCAGCUGUGGAGGACAUGUAUGGGUUUUAAACUACAGAUUCAUCCCACGGUUUGAUGACUCGACUGUAUAAAA